rnacentral:rRNA from 1 species
AUACGGAGGAUGCGAGCGUUAUCCGGAUUUAUUGGGUUUAAAGGGAGCGUAGGUGGGAUAUUAAGUCAGCUGUGAAAGUUUGGGGCUCAACCUUAAAAUUGCAGUUGAUACUGGUUUCCUUGAGUACGGUACAGGUGGGCGGAAUUCGUGGUGUAGCGGUGAAAUGCUUAGAUAUCACGAAGAACUCCGAUCGCGAAGGCAGCUCACCGGGCCGGAACUGACACUGAUGCUCGAAAGUGCGGGUAUCAAACAGGAUUAGAUACCCUGGUAGUCCGCACAGUAAACGAUGAAUACUCGCUGUUUGCGAUACACGGUAAGCGGCCAAGCGAAAGCGUUAAGUAUUCCACCUGGGGAGUACGCCGGCAACGGUGAAACUCAAAGGAAUUGAUGGGG